rnacentral:rRNA from 1 species
UACGUAGGGUCCGAGCGUUGUCCGGAGUUACUGGGCGUAAAGCGCGCGCAGGCGGCCCGCGAGGUGUCACGUGAAAGCCCCGGGCUCAACCUGGGAAUUGCAUUCGAGACUGCUCUGCUAGGGUGCGGAAGAGGGAAGCGGAAUUUCCGGUGUAGCGGUGAAAUGCGUAGAUAUCGGAAGGAACACCAGUGGCGAAAGCGGCUUCCUGGUCCAGCACCGACGUUCAGGCACGAAAGCGUGGGGAGCAAACAGG